UAAAUCCCCUCCAGGACUGUGCGAGCUCACAUCUCUCUCACACGAGGCUGACCUCUGAGAAAAGCCUAGAAGAUGAGACUCCUGGGUCUCCUGUAUCUGGUGAUAGCCCUUCCUGGCGUCCUGUCCCAGAUCCAGCUUGAGGAGUCAGGACCUGGCCUUUUGAAGCCUUCACAAUCUCUGUCCCUCACCUGCUCUGUCUCUGGUUACUCCAUCACCAGUGGUUAUGUCUGGAGCUGGAUCAGGCAGUCCCCAGGAAAGAAGCUGGAGUGGAUGGGAUACAUAAGUAGUGGUGGUAGCACCAACUACAACCCAACUCUCAAGAGCCGCAUCUCCAUCACCAGAGAAACAUCCAAGAACCAGUUCUCCCUACAGCUAAACUCUGUGACCACUGAGGACACAGCCACAUAUUACUGUGCAAGAGACACAGUGAGGGGACUUCAGUUGUCCCUUGACUGUGUCAUAUUCUAUGACAAUCAGCACCAGUUUCCAUUCUAUAAGCGCCUGUUAUUUCCCUAUGGAGCAUCUAAGGGUUUCGGGAAUGGCUACUUUCUCAGACGGAAUGACGACUUGGACCUCAACAUCCAGCCUGACCCAGGUUUCCUCAAUCUCCUUCUGCUCCAGCUGGACUAG